UCUGCAUGUUUUCAUAUAUAAUACAUGAUGAUUAUGUUGAGCGUAUGGCUGAAAACUUGUUAUAUUCAAUAGCGACAUUUGAAAUUUGGCGCGCGUGGCGAUCCCGGAUAUGGCACGGGGCGCUGUUUUGGCCCGGCCGUAGUGAAGGGAUUAAGAGUGAAGAUACAGGCCAAUUCUUGCAUUAAUAAGUUGGACAGCACAAGACAGCUGAUAGGUCCAGGCACUCAACAGGAACAAAAAACACCAUUACUCUUGCAUUAAUAAGUUGGACAGCACAAGACAGCUGAUAGGUCCAGGCACUCAACAGGAACAAAAAACACCAUGACUCUUGCAUUAAUAAGUUGGACAGCACAAGACAGCUGAUAGGUCCAGGCACCCAACAGGAACAAAAAACACCAUGACCCUUACAUUAAUAAGUUGGACAGCACAAGACAGCUGAUAGGUCCAGGCACUCAACAGGAACAAAAAACACCAUUACUCUUGCAUUAAUAAGUUGGACAGCACAAGACAGCUGAUAGGUCCAGGCACUCAACAGGAACAAAAAACACCAUGACUCUUGCAUUAAUAAGUUGGACAGCACAAGACAGCUGAUAGGUCCAGGCACCCAACAGGAACAAAAAACACCAUGACUCUUGCAUUAAUAAGUUGGACAGCACAAGACAGCUGAUAGGUCCAGGCACUCAACAGGAACAAAAAACACCAUUACUCUUGCAUUAAUAAGUUGGACAGCACAAGACAGCUGAUAGGUCCAGGCACCCAACAGGAACAAAAAACACCAUUACUCCUGCAUUAAUAAGUUGGACAGCACAAGACAGCUGAUAGGUCCAGGCACCCAACAGGAACAAAAAACACCAUGACUCUUGCAUUAAUAAGUUGGACAGCACAAGACAGCUGAUAGGUCCAGGCACCCAACAGGAACAAAAAACACCAUGACUCUUGCAUUAAUAAGUUGGACAGCACAAGACAGCUGAUAGGUCCAGGCACUCAACAGGAACAAAAAACACCAUUACUCCUGCAUUAGUUUUUAAUCAGACACUCUAAAAAGAUGAUAGUGAAAACACCAGUUAACUCUCACAUCAUUAAGUUGGACAGCACAGGACAUAGGGAAAGCAUGAGAGAGUGAAGGUAUACCGGAUAACUCUUGCAACAUUAAGUGGGACAG